rnacentral:lncRNA from 1 species
UCCGCAGCAUCGCCGGAGUGCGCGUCCAUGACCCUGUGCGGGCCGAUCAAGAAGCACAUCAUCGAGCACUUCCACCACAAGAAGCCCGUGCCGCCUAAGCCGGAGCUCAAGCCCCAGCCCCACCCGGACUACGGCCCCGUGCCCAAGCCGGAGCCGAAGCCGCAGCCCCACCCGGACUACCACCCCCCUCCCACGCCCACCUACGGCGGCGGUGGCGGCGGCGGUGGAUACCACAGGCACCACUGAGUCAGGUCUACCCCCGUCCUGCCCAGCGAUGAAAUCUCAUCAUCAGCGGGUUGGUGAUCAGUGAGUGGUCGACGGUGCUAAUUAUGAUUGGUUUGCAUGCGUGAGUAUCGUUAGGUCUUCUGCCAUUCCCGCGAAGCCCCGUUUAUUAUCUGCACUGCAGAGUUGGGAGUUCAGAAUAACAGAUGUGCGUGUGUGUGUCGCUGUGUCAGGCAAGUGUGAGGGUGUGUUGGCGUGUUGCUUUAUCAAGAUUUUGUAAUUUCAGUGUGUGUUUUGUAUAAGAAGUUAUUAUGAAUCAAGUAAUUUAAACAAGUCGAUUUGUCAACCGAACAACUGCAGCUGUUCGAGACGAUUGGCAUGAUAAGGAUAGUGUGAUUUUACUUCAACUCAAUUUUCAGAUCCGUGAACUGAAACUGAAGUGAAAUUCAGGCGUGUGCAAUGCAUUCAUACUGCUGGUCAUAGUUUUUUCUCUUACGAUGAACAAGUCGAUUUAUGAACAUUUUUCCUAGAUAAGUGAGGCUUUUAAAAAAUGUUCAUCAUGUGUUCAAAACAAUGAUAACCGUAAAUUUAAAGCAAAAUUGUUCGCCGUGUAUCUUAAAAAUGUUCAUCAUGAAUUUAAAAGGUUUGCCACUAAUUUUAAAAAGUUCAUCAUGUAUUUAUAUCACUAAUUUAGUUAUCUAAACGCUCUUAUAUUAGUUUACAGAGGGAGUAUUUAAAAGUUGUCAUCACGUAAUUAAAAAAAGGUUAAUUGUGCAUUAAUGAAAAUUUUCACCAUGUUUCAGAAAUGUUCAUCAUGUAUUAAUAAACUUAACCUUGUAUUUUUAAAAGUAAAAAAAUGCUCAUUGUGUAUUUAAAACAUAUAAAGAUAUUUUUUUGUAAAUGAACUAAAAAUAUUCAUUCUGUAUUAAAAAAAUAUUCACCAUGAAUUGUUCAAAAAAAUCACCUUGUAUUAUUCAAAAACGCUCAGACACAAAGGACAAAUGCUCAUACACGGUGUGGGGAAAAGGAGAAAAUGCAUAGAGUAAAAGAACAACAAAAGAGGAAAAAUGGACAAUGAAAAAAAAAAGGAAAGAAUGAAGAAUCCAACUAAGAAAAAAAACAGUUCAGAAGCCAAACACAAAAACCAUGCAAAAAGACGCAGCAGGAACCAGCGAACGAAACAACACCCCUAGCUGGCCUGCCCAAGUCACCUUGCUUGUGACUGUCUUCGCAUCCAUUUGACGUGUGUGCGUAUUUGCCGGAGACCUCCUAUUCCCUGACCUACGCGGGGAAAAGUGAGGAAACAUGCACCUAAACCUGUGGGUAGCCCGACCCGAGCCUGGCCCGAAAAAUCCAGGCCACGCUGGGGCCUUGUUUUGCAGCCCAAUGUACAUUUCGCCUAGGCUCGGGCUUUUGUAACAAUACUGAGAAAUAGUAUUUGGUCGGGCUUUCAAUAUUCAGGUCGGGCUUACAACUAACAACAUUGAUAAACACCAUUCGAGCUAGACUUUCGGGCUUCGGGCCUAUAUUUGGCUGAGGCUCGAGCUUGAGAAAGUGUGUACUUUCGGGAUUUGGACCAGCUGGGGCUUGAAGUUUGGGUUUCUGGCUUUUUGAAGCCCAGCCCGCCAUAUAAUCAGGUUUAAGUGCACCCCCGCCCCCCACGCGUGCUUUUGGCCGGCCCAUAUGCGGGGUGAGCCGGGCUUAUUAUUAUUAUUUUUGCUUUUGUACUUUCGUUCUUUCUCAAUUGCAAGAAAUGUUCAUAAAAUAAGCAUAUGUUUGCACAUUUCUCAAAGUGCUUCAAAUUUUCAAAAUAUUAUAUGAUUUAAAUUCUUCAUAAAUUGAAAAUUUUCUUGAAUUUCAGAAAAUGUUCAUGAAUUGUAAAAUUGUUCCCCUAGUUCACAAAUUAUUCAUGUAUUUGAAAGUCCAUGGAUUCGAAAAUUGCUCGCGAAUUUGAGAAUGGAAUAAUAGAGUGAGUAUAGCAAUUGAUAUCUAUAGAUACUUUGCGAGGUUUAUAUCAUUAAAUUUAGAAAUGAUGUCAUUAUCACGACAUGUAUUGGAUGUCCUUUUUUCACUAGUUAAUAUCCAUAAAAUAUCAUGUUAGAUGACCGAUUUUUCAUAAUAUAACAUUUAUUGUGAAUCAAAAACCAGAAAGCAAGAAUCCUGCAAAGAAAAUGUAACACAUAAUCCUAGAGAGCGCCUUACACAUCUCAUUUCUAAGUGUGUUUACUUAUAAUUUGGUAAACAUAAGUCCAAGCAAAUCAAAGAAAAUCAAAGUACAGAGAAUACCUACAUACCAUGGCCCAUUGACCGGUCCACACAAUUGACUGCUUUAAUGUGACCCAUCAAAGACACUCAGAGCUUCAAAGGUGAACUGUUCUUUGAUCCAGGCUUUGGUUGGCACCGUAAAGAAUGCAAAAUAACAGCUCAAAUAUUUGUAUCAGCAAAAGAUCAAACAACUGAAAUAAGAAGCACAGAGCACAUGAGCAAGGAACAUAAAUGUUGUUAAUAAAACAAGAAAAAAACUAAGAUACACUUGUGUCACUCGCAACUCACUAACUCAUCACAAAUUCUUCAUACGAGCAAAAUAACACUACUAGGGACAAAGCAGGGCUUCGAUUUUCUUGCACAACAGCUAACAGUUAGAGUUUUUAAUUCAUGUUUACCCAAUAAUUCUCCACAAUUCCUCACAUAGUUUCUAGUUCAACCAUUACUGGUAUGUAAAUAGACAAGAUUAGAUCGAUACUAAAAUUUGCAUUACGCUAUCGACGAAUGACGGCUCAAUUUUAUCUCCACAUAGAUGACACAAGAAUCUCAUUUGAGCAGUUGGUCACAAUGCAUACUAGCAUACUAAUGUUUCCAAUCGAACCGCAGCCAGAAACUUAGAACGACUUAUCCAACUUCUACCACCAAAUCAAAUUCAUAAUAUGAUGUUGCCUCCACGUUCCACGAUCCCGGUAGGUACAUCCAUGCACUUUCCACAUGCGAGAUGCGAUGAAGAUGUGAGAUGUGGCCAAAGAUUUGGGAUGUUGUAAACAUAUCUACGAGAUAUUUUUUUCUCUAUGUAUACCUAAUAGUUUACUAGAAGCCGCUAUCAGGAUAUUUCUGACUUUAAAAGACACACACACACAGAGAGAGAGAGAUAUACGUAUAUACUAUGGUCAUGUGAGUGUCACAAAUUAAUCCAUGAAACAUGCAAUUUUAUGUAGUCUAUUUUCUUAUGGUUAGAGGGGUUAAGUUUAAGUAUUAUUUUAUGGUGCAAUCUAUUGAAUAGAAAGAAACUAAUCAAAUUUAGCGUAGGGCGUGCAUAUAUUUUAAUGACACACAUUACAACCUAGCAGAAAAUAAUAUUAUUUAUAUUGAGCAUAAUUAUCGUAAGUAAAUAUAAAAAAGAAGUAACCGCUCGCAGUUAAUAGUGAGUUUUAAACAUGUAUAAAAGUUUAAUAUAAAUAUUCAAUUUAAUUAGACUCGAUUUCUUGUCACCGCCCUAGAUUCAUGUUUGUAAUUAGUGGCAUUGCAUCCAUGCAUCAUGUCUAAUUUUAUCAGAAAUUUGAAUUGAGGGAAUUUUCAAAACCUCAGAAACAUUUUAGAAAUUAUCAACACUAAAAUCUUCUCAAAUAAGUCCAAGAAAAUGUUCCUGUUAUUUUAUGAAAAUAUUGGAAAGAGGUAAAAUUAAAACCAGUGUUUUUGGAUUGUCAGAAAUAUUUAUUUUGGGAAUUUGAGUUAAUCUAAUAAUUAUUUGCAUUAGACUUAUAUUUAUUAUAUAUUAAAUAUUGGUCCAAAAAAUUUGAAAGUUUGUAUGAGGCUCUGGACUAGUUCCCUAAGUCCACAUAUUGAAUUUCAGAAGUUUAUAAAGUGAUUUGGUAGUUAAACCAAAUCAAACAAACAGAACAAAAUGGAAAACAAAAACAGAAAGGGAAGAACAGAGAGAGAGAGAGAGAGUUUACCUGGCAGCCCACUUACCCGGCCCAACUCCUCUAGCCGGCCCAGCCUACCUGGCUCUGCCAGUCGUCCUCUACCUCGUGCCAGAGGGCACGAGGGCGUGUGGCCGCCGCCCACGCGUACGCACCGCGCCACCUCCUGCUUGCCGCUUCGCUCUGGCCCUCUCUGGACGUCGACACGUAGCCCCCUGGUCCUCUCCCUCGCUCCCCUCGUCCUUCCCCUCCUCUGGAUCCCUCUCUCUCUCUCACCACCGAGCGGGGCUCAUCGCCACCGACGCCGUUCACCGUAGCCACCGCCUCCUCCUGAACCUCUCUCCGCGCCCAGAAGCUCCGCCACUUCGUCCUCGACCCCCUCGCUGAGCCACGCAACGCCGGACGCCCUGAAGCCUCGCCAACACCGUCGUUCCCCUCGUCGGUCACCGCGGAUCCUCGCCGUUGAUUCAGGAGCUACAGGACCUCCCCGAGCACUCUGAGCUUCUCUACAAGUCCUCCGUGAGCCCCUCUUUCCCCUACCCUAACCUCGUUGCUUCGCUCGACCUCUAGCUAGCGCUGCCGCCAUGGCCGAGCUCCGCCGCCGCCUGCCUUGUCAUGCGCCACCAUUGCAGCCCGCGCCCGUCGUUGGAGAGCAUGGCAACGAGCUCGUCGUGCCUCCAGGAGGCCGGCUAUCCCUUUUGCUAGCUCGCCCGUGCCCCGUAGCACCGCUGCCCGCUUGCGCCCGAACUCCGGCCGCCGCCCAAGUGGUCGCCGCCGUCGACCCCGGCCUCCCUGCGCCUAGCUGCAUGCACCCCUGGAUGCGGGCGAGCGAGGGCUUCCUCAUGGUGCCCUGCUACCUCUUGAGCACUGCGUUGGUUUUCCCUAGAAAAGGAAAGGGUGAUGCAGCAAAGUGGCGUAAGUAUUUCCCUCAGUUUUUGAAAACCAAGGUAUCAAUCCAGUAGGAGGCUACACACGAGUCCCUCGCACCUACACAAACGAAUAAAUCCUCGCAACCAACAUGAUAAGGGGUUGUCAAUCCCUACACGGUCACUUACGAGAGUGAGAUCUGAUAGAUAUGAUAAGAUAAUAUUUUUGGUAUUUUUGUGAUAAAGAUGCAAAGUAAAGAAAGUAAAAUAAAAACGGCGCUAGAAAUAGCUAAGUGUUGGAAGAUUAAUAUGAUGGAAAAUAGACCCGGGGGCCAUAGGUUUCACUAGUGGCUUCUCUCGAGAGCAUAAGUAUUUACGGUGGGUGAACAAAUUACUGUUGAGCAAUUGACAGAAUUGAGCAUAGUUGUGAGAAUAUCUAGGCAUGAUCAUGUAUAUAGGCAUGACGUCCGAAACAAGUAGACCGACUCCUGCCUGCAUCUACUACUAUUACUCCACACAUCGACCGCUAUCCAGCAUGCGUCUAGAGUAUUAAGUUCAUAAGAACAGAGUAACGCUUUAAGCAAGAUGACAUGAUGUAGAGGGAUAAACUCAUGCAAUAUGAUAUAAACCCCAUCUUGUUAUCCUCGAUGGCAACAAUACAUUACGUGCCUUGCUGCCCCCACUGUCACUGGAAAAGGACACCGCAAGAUUGAACCCAAAGCUAAGCACUUCUCCCAUUGCAAGAAAGAUCAAUCUAGUAGGCCAACCCAAACUGAUAAUUCGAAGAGACUUGCAAAGAUAACCAAUCAUACAUAAAAGAAUUCAGAAGAUUCAAAUAUUGUUCAUAGAUAAGCUUGAUCAUAAACCCACAAUUCAUCGGUCUCCACAAACACAUCACAAAAGAAGAUUACAUCGAAUAGAUCUCCACAAGAGAGGGGGAGAACAUUGUAUUGAGAUCGAAAAAGAGAGAAGAAGCCAUCUAGCUAAUAACUAUGGACCCGAAGGUCUGAGGUAAACUACUCACACUUCAUCGGAGAGCCUAUGGUGUUGAUGUAGAAGCCCUCCGUCAUCGAUGCCCCCUCCGGCGGAGCUCCGAAACAGGCCCCAAGAUGGGAUCUCACGAAUACAGAAGGUUGCGGCGGUGAAAUUAGGUUUUUAGCUGCGUAUCUGAUCGUUUGGGGGUACGUAGCUAUAUAUAGGAGGAAGGAGUACGUCGGUGGAGCAACGUGGGGCCCACGAGGGUGGAGGGCGCGCCCAGGGGGUAGGAGCGCCCCCUACCUCGUGGCUUCCUGGUAGCUUUCUUGACGUAGGGUCCAAGUCAUCUGGAUCAUGUUUGUUCCGAAAAUCACGUUUCCGAAGGUUUCAUUCCGUUUGGACGCCGUUUGAUAUCCUGCGAAACUCUGAAAUAGGCAAAAACAGCAAUUCUGGGCUGGGCCUCCGGUUAAUAGGUUAGUCCCAAAAAUAAUAUAAAAGUGCAUAAUAAAGCCCAAUAAUGUCCAAAACAGAAGAUAAUAUAGCAUGGAGCAAUCAAAAAUUAUAGAUACGUUGGAGACGUAUCAAGCAUCCCCAAGCUUAAUUCCUGCUCGUCCUCGAGUAGGUAAAUGAUAAAAACAGAAUUUUUGAUGUGGAAUGCUACUUGGCAUAAUUUCAAUGUAAUUUUUAUUAAUUGUGGUAUGAAUAUUCAGAUCCGAAAGAUUCAAGAUAAAAGUUCAAUAUUGACAUAAAAAUAAUAAUACUUCAAGCAUACUAACUAAGCAAUUAUGUCCGCAGCAUCGCCGGAGUGCGCGUCCAUGACCCUGUGCGGGCCGAUCAAGAAGCACAUCAUUGAGCACUUCCACCACAAGAAGCCCGUGCCGCCUAAGCCGGAGCUCAAGCCCCAGCCCCACCCGGACUACGGGCCCGUGCCCAAGCCGGAGCCGAAGCCGCAGCCCCACCCGGACUACCACCCCCCUCCCACGCCCACCUACGGCGGCGGUGGCGGCGGCGGUGGAUACCACAGGCACCACUGAGUCAGGUCUACCCCCGUCCUGCCCAGCGAUGAAAUCUCAUCAUCAGCGGGUUGGUGAUCAGUGAGUGGUCGACGGUGCUAAUUAUGAUUGGUUUGCAUGCGUGAGUAUCGUUAGGUCUUCUGCCAUUCCCGCGAAGCCCCGUUUAUUAUCUGCACUGUAGAGUUGGGAGUUCAGAAUAACAGAUGUGCGUGUGUGUGUCGCUGUGUCAGGCAAGUGUGAGGGUGUGUUGGCGUGUUGCUUUAUCAAGAUUUUGUAAUUUCAGUGUGUGUUUUGUAUAAGAAGUUAUUAUGAAUCAAGUAAUUUAAACAAGUCGAUUUGUCAACCGAACAACUGCAGCUGUUCGAGACGAUUGGCAUGAUAAGGAUAGUGUGAUUUUACUUCAACUCAAUUUUCAGAUCCGUGAACUGAAACUGAAGUGAAAUUCAGGCGUGUGCAAUGCAUUCAUACUGCUGGUCAUAGUUUUUUCUCUUACGAUGAACAAGUCGAUUUAUGAACAUUUUUCCUAGAUAAGUGAGGCUUUUAAAAAAUGUUCAUCAUGUGUUCAAAACAAUGAUAACCGUAAAUUUAAAGCAAAAUUGUUCGCCGUGUAUCUUAAAAAUGUUCAUCAUGAAUUUAAAAGGUUUGCCACUAAUUUUAAAAAGUUCAUCAUGUAUUUAUAUCACUAAUUUAGUUAUCUAAACGCUCUUAUAUUAGUUUACAGAGGGAGUAUUUAAAAGUUGUCAUCACGUAAUUAAAAAAAGGUUAAUUGUGCAUUAAUGAAAAUUUUCACCAUGUUUCAGAAAUGUUCAUCACGUAUUAAACUUAACCAUGUAUUUUUAAAAGUAAAAAAUGCUCAUUGUGUAUUUAAAACAUAUAAAGAUAUUUUUUUGUAAAUGAACUAAAAAUAUUCACCAUGAAUUGUUCAAAAAAUUCACCUUGUAUUAUUCAAAAACGCUCAGACACAAAGGACAAAUGUUCAUACACGGUGUGGGGAAAAGGAGAAAAUGCAUAGAGUAAAAGAACAACAAAACAGGAAAAAUGGACAAUGAAAAAAAAAGGAAAGAAUGAAGAAUCCAACUAAGAAAAAAAACAGUUCAGAAGCCAAACACAAAAACCACGCAAAAAGACGCAGCAGGAACCAGCGAACGAAACAACACCCCUAGCUGGCCUGCCCAAGUCACCUUGCUUGUGACUGUCUUCGCAUCCAUUUGACGUGUGUGCGUAUUUGCCGGAGACCUCCUAUUCCCUGACCUACGCGGGGAAAAGUGAGGAAACAUGCACCUAAACCUGUGGGUAGCCCGACCCGAGCCUGGCCCGAAAAAUCCAGGCCACGCUGGUGCCUUGUUUUGCAGCCCAAUGUACAUUUCGCCUAGGCUCGGGCUUUUGUAACAAUACUGAGAAAUAGUAUUUGGUUGGGCUUUCAAUAUUCAGGUCGGGCUUACAACUAACAACAUUGAUAAACACCAUUCGAGCUAGACUUUCGGGCUUGGGGCCUAUAUUUGGCUGAGGCUCGAGCUUGAGAAAGUGUGUACUUUCGGGAUUUGGACCAGCUGGGGCUUGAAGUUUGGGUUUCUGGCUUUUUGAAGCCCAGCCCGCCAUAUAAUCAGGUUUAAGUGCACCCCCGCCCCCCAUGCGUGCUUUUGGCCGGCCCAUAUGCGGGGUGAGCCGGGCUUAUUAUUAUUAUUUUUGCUUUUGUACUUUCAUUCUUUCUCAAUUGCAAGAAAUGUUCAUAAAAUAAUCAUAUGUUUGCACAUUUCUCAAAGUGCUUCAAAUUUUCAAAAUAUUAUAUGAUUUAAAUUCUUCAUAAAUUGAAAAUUUUCUUGAAUUUCAGAAAAUGUUCAUGAAUAGUAAAAUUGUUCCCCUAGUUCACAAAUUAUUCAUGUAUUUGAAAGUCCAUGGAUUCGAAAAUUGCUCGCGAAUUUGAGAAUGGAAUAAUAGAGUGAGUAUAGCAAUUGAUAUCUAUAGAUACUUUGCGAGGUUUAUAUCAUUAAAUUUAGAAAUGAUGUCAUUAUCACGACAUGUAUUGGAUGUCCUUUUUUCACUAGUUAAUAUCCAUAAAAUAUCAUGUUAGAUGACCGAUUUUUCAUAAUAUAACAUUUAUUGUGAAUCAAAAACCAGAAAGCAAGAAUCCUGCAAAGAAAAUGUAACACAUAAUCCUAGAGAGCGCCUUACACAUCUCAUUUCUAAGUGUGUUUACUUAUAAUUUGGUAAACAUAAGUCCAAGCAAAUCAAAGAAAAUCAAAGUACAGAGAAUACCUACAUACCAUGGCCCAUUGACCGGUCCACACAAUUGACUGCUUUAAUGUGACCCAUCAAAGACACUCAGAGCUUCAAAGGUGAACUGUUCUUUGAUCCAGGCUUUGGUUGGCACCGUAAAGAAUGCAAAAUAACAGCUCAAAUAUUUGUAUCAGCAAAAGAUCAAACAACUGAAAUAAGAAGCACAGAGCACAUGAGCAAGGAACAUAAAUGUUGUUAAUAAAACAAGAAAAAAACUAAGAUACGCUUGUGUCACUCGCAACUCACUAACUCAUCACAAAUUCUUCAUACGAGCAAAAUAACACUACUAGGGACAAAGCAGGGCUUCGAUUUUCUUGCACAACAGCUAACAGUUAGAGCUUUUAAUUCAUGUUUACCCAAUAAUUCUCCACAAUUCCUCACAUAGUUUCUAGUUCAACCAUUACUGGUAUGUAAAUAGACAAGAUUAGAUCGAUACUAAAAUUUGCAUUACGCUAUCGACGAAUGACGGCUCAAUUUUAUCUCCACAUAGAUGACACAAGAAUCUCAUUUGAGCAGUUGGUCACAAUGCAUACUAGCAUACUAAUGUUUCCAAUCGAACCGCAGCCAGAAACUUAGAACGACUUAUCCAACUUCUACCACCAAAUCAAAUUCAUAUUAUGAUGUUGCCUCCACGUUCCACGAUCCCGGUAGGUACAUCCAUGCACUUUCCACAUGCGAGAUGCGAUGAAGAUGUGAGAUGUGGCCAAAGAUUUGGGAUGUUGUAAACAUAUGUACGAGAUAUUUUUUUUCUCUAUGUAUACCUAAUAGUUUACUAGAAGCCGCUAUCAGGAUAUUUCUGACUUUUAAAGACACACACACACAGAGAGAUAUACGUAUAUACUAUGGUCAUGUGAGUGUCACAAAUUAAUCCAUGAAACAUGCAAUUUUAUGUAGUCUAUUUUCUUAUGGUUAGAGGGGUUAAGUUUAAGUAUUAUUUUAUGGUGCAAUCUAUUGAAUAGAAAGAAACUAAUCAAAUUUAGCGUAGGGCGUGCACAUAUUUUAAUGACACACAUUACAACCUAGCAGAAAAUACUAUUAUUUAUAUUGAGCAUAAUUAUCGUAAGUAAAUAUAAAAAAGAAGUAACCGCUUGCAGUUAAUAGUGAGUUUUAAACAUGUAUAAAAGUUUAAUAUAAAUAUUCAAUUUAAUUAGACUCGAUUUCUUGUCACCGCCCUAGAUUCAUGUUUGUAAUUAGUGGCAUUGCAUCCAUGCAUCAUGUCUAAUUUUAUCAGAAAUUUGAAUUGAGGGAAUUUUCAAAACCUCAGAAACAUUUUAGAAAUUAUCAACACUAAAAUCUUCUCAAAUAAGUCCAAGAAAAUGUUCCUGUUAUUUUAUGAAAAUAUUGGAAAGAGGUAAAAUUAAAACCAGUAUUUUUGGAUUGUCAGAAAUAUUUAUUUUGGGAAUUUGAGUUAAUCUAAUAAUUAUUUGCAUUAGACUUAUAUUUAUUAUAUAUUAAAUAUUGGUCCAAAAAAUUUGAAAGUUUGUAUGUGGCUCUGGACUAGUUCCCUAAGUCCACAUAUUGAAUUUCAGAAGUUUAUAAAGUGAUUUGGUAGUUAAACCAAAUCAAACAAACAGAACAAAAUGGAAAACAAAAACAGAAAGGGAAGAACAGAGAGAGAGAGAGAGAGUUUACCUGGCAGCCCACUUACCCGGCCCAACUCCUCUAGCCGGCCCAGCCUACCUGGCUCUGCCAGUCGUCCUCUACCUCGUGCCAGAGGGCACGAGGGCGUGUGGCCGCCGCCCACGCGUACGCACCGCGCCACCUCUUGCUUGCCGCUUCGCUCUGGCCCUCUCCGGACGUCGACACGUAGCCCCCUGGUCCUCUCCCUCGCUUCCCUCGUCCUUCCCCACCUCUGGAUCCCUCUCUCUCUCUCACCACCGAGCGGGGCUCGUCGCCACCGACGCCGUUCACCGUAGCCACCGUCUCCUCCUGAACCUCUCUCCGCGCCCAGAAGCUCCGCCACUUCGUCCUCGACCCCCUCGCUGAGCCACGCAACGCCGGACGCCCUGAAGCCUCGCCAACACCGUCGUUCCCCUCGUCGGUCGCCGCGGAUCCUCGCCGUUGAUUCAGGAGCUACAGGACCUCCCCGAGCACUCUGAGCUUCUCUACAAGUCCUCCGUGAGCCCCUCUUUCCCCUACCCUAACCUCGUUGCUUCGCUCGACCUCUAGCUAGCGCUGCCGCCAUGGCCGAGCUCCGCCGCCGCCUGCCUUGUCAUGCGCCACCAUUGCAGCCCGCGCCCGUCGUUGGAGAGCAUGGCAACGAGCUCGUCGUGCCUCCAGGAGGCCGGCUAUCCCUUUUGCUAGCUCGCCCGUGCCCCGUAGCACCGCUGCCCGCUUGCGCCCGAACUCCGGCCGCCGCCCAAGUGGUCACCGCCGUCGACCCCGGCCUCCUGCGCCCAGCUGCAUGCACCCCCUGGAUGCGGGCGAGCGAGGGCUUCCUCAUGGUGCCCUGCUACCUCUUGAGCACUGCGUUGGUUUUCCCUAGAAGAGGAAAGGGUGAUGCAGCAAAGUGGCGUAAGUAUUUCCCUCAGUUUUUGAGAACCAAGGUAUCAAUCCAAUAGGAGGCUACACACGAGUCCCUCGCACCUACACAAACGAAUAAAUCCUCGCAACCAACAUGAUAAGGGGUUGUCAAUCCCUACACGGUCACUUACGAGAGUGAGAUCUGAUAGAUAUGAUAAGAUAAUAUUUUUGGUAUUUUUGUGAUAAAGAUGCAAAGUAAAGAAAGUAAAAUAAAAACGGCGCUAGAAAUAGCUAAGUGUUGGAAGAUUAAUAUGAUGGAAAAUAGACCCGGGGGCCAUAGGUUUCACUAGUGGCUUCUCUCGAGAGCAUAAGUAUUUACGGUGGGUGAACAAAUUACUGUUGAGCAAUUGACAGAAUUGAGCAUAGUUAUGAGAAUAUCUAGGCAUGAUCAUGUAUAUAGGCAUGACGUCCGAAACAAGUAGACCGACUCCUGCCUGCAUCUACUACUAUUACUCCACACAUCGACCGCUAUCCAGCAUGCGUCUAGAGUAUUAAGUUCAUAAGAACAGAGUAACGCUUUAAGCAAGAUGACAUGAUGUAGAGGGAUAAACUCAUGCAAUAUGAUAUAAACCCCAUCUUGUUAUCCUCGAUGGCAACAAUACAUUACGUGCCUUGCUGCCCCCACUGUCACUGGAAAAGGACACCGCAAGAUUGAACCCAAAGCUAAGCACUUCUCCCAUUGCAAGAAAGAUCAAUCUAGUAGGCCAACCCAAACUGAUAAUUCGAAGAGACAUGCAAAGAUAACCAAUCAUACAUAAAAGAAUUCAGAAGAUUCAAAUAUUGUUCAUAGAUAAGCUUGAUCAUAAACCCACAAUUCAUCGGUCUCCACAAACACAUCACAAAAGAAGAUUACAUCGAAUAGAUCUCCACAAGAGAGGGGGAGAACAUUGUAUUGAGAUCGAAAAAGAGAGAAGAAGCCAUCUAGCUAAUAACUAUGGACCCGAAGGUCUGAGGUAAACUACUCACACUUCAUCGGAGAGCCUAUGGUGUUGAUGUAGAAGCCCUCCGUGAUCGAUGCCCCCUCCGGCGGAGCUCCGAAACAGGCCCCAAGAUGGGAUCUCACGAAUACAGAAGGUUGCGGCGGUGAAAUUAGGUUUUUAGCUACGUAUCUGAUCGUUUGGGGGUACGUAGCUAUAUAUAGGAGGAAGGAGUACGUCGGUGGAGCAACGUGGGGCCCACGAGGGUGGAGGGCGCGCCCAGGGGGUAGGAGCGCCCCCUACCUCGUGGCUUCCUGGUAGCUUUCUUGACGUAGGGUCCAAGUCAUCUGGAUCAUGUUUGUUCCGAAAAUCAUGUUUCCGAAGGUUCAUUCCGUUUGGACGCCGUUUGAUAUCCUGCGAAACUCUGAAAUAGGCAAAAAACAGCAAUUCUGGGCUGGGCCUCCGGUUAAUAGGUUAGUCCCAAAAAAUAAUAUAAAAGUGCAUAAUAAAGCCCAAUAAUGUCCAAAACAGAAGAUAAUAUAGCAUGGAGCAAUCAAAAAUUAUAGAUACGUUGGAGACGUAUCAAGCAUCCCCAAGCUUAAUUCCUGCUCGUCCUCGAGUAGGUAAAUGAUAAAAACAGAAUUUUUGAUGUGGAAUGCUACUUGGCAUAAUUUCAGUGUAAUUUUUAUUAAUUGUGGUAUGAAUAUUUAGAUCCGAAAGAUUCAAGAUAAAAGUUCAAUAUUGACAUAAAAAUAAUAAUACUUCAAGCAUACUAACUAAGCAAUUAUGUCCGCAGCAUCGCCGGAGUGCGCGUCCAUGACCCUGUGCGGGCCGAUCAAGAAGCACAUCAUUGAGCACUUCCACCACAAGAAGCCCGUGCCGCCUAAGCCGGAGCUCAAGCCCCAGCCCCACCCGGACUACGGCCCCGUGCCCAAGCCGGAGCCGAAGCCGCAGCCCCACCCAGACUACCACCCCGUCCCUCCCACGCCCACCUACGGUAGCGGUGGCGGCGGUGGUGGAUACCACGGGCACCACUGAGUCAGUUCUACCCCCGUCCUGCCCAGCGAUGAAAUCUCAUCAUCAGCGGGUUGGUGAUCAGUGAGUGGUGGACGGUGCUAAUUAUGAUUGGUUUGCAUGCGUGGGUAUCGUUAGGUCUUCUGCCAUUCCCGCGAAGCCCCGUUUAUUAUCUGCACUGCAGAGUUGGGAGUUCAGAAUAACAGAUGUGCGUGUGUGUGUCGCUGUGUCAGGCGAGUGUGAGGGUGUGUUGGUGUGUUGCUUUAUCAAGAUUUUGUAAUUUCAGUGUGUGUUUUGUAUAAGAAGUUAUUAUGAAUCAAGUAAUUUAACCAAGUCGAUUUGUCAGCCGAACAACUGCAGCUGUUCGAGACGAUUGGCAUGAUAAAGAUAGUGUGAUUUUACUUCAACUCAAUUUUCAGAUCCGUGAACUGAAACUGAAG